ensembl:snoRNA SNORD58 Small nucleolar RNA SNORD58
CUGCACUGAUGACGUCUUAGGACACCUUUUAGAUGAAUGAUGAAAGUAACCCUUCAAUCUGAGCAGC